GACGUAGGGCGCGAGCGUUGUCCGGAUUUAUUGGGCGUAAAGAGCUCGUAGGCGGCUUGUCGCGUCGUCCGUGAAAACCUGCAGCUCAACUGCAGGCUUGCGGUCGAUACGGGCAGGCUAGAGUUCGGUAGGGGGAGACUGGAAUUCCUGGUGUAGCGGUGAAAAUGCGCAGAUAUCAGGAGGAACACCGAUGGCGAAGGCAGGUCUCUGGGCAUUAACUGACGCUGAGGAGCGAAAAGCAUGGGGGAGCGAACAGG
rnacentral:rRNA from 1 species